rfam:Blastomyces gilchristii SLH14081 genomic scaffold supercont1.12, whole genome shotgun sequence.
UACCAUGAUGAACAAGAGCACAACGCUCGAUAUAAUCCCAGCUCUUCGAAUGGCCUCGUUUUUAUAUCUCACGUUUGAGGCCAUAUUGAGAUUUGAAUCCAACCCUGAUAA